UGCAAAUAAUAAUAAUAAUAAUAGACUGACAUGCCAAGAUUUGCAGCUGCCUCUUCAAGGAACAGAGAGUAGAAGACUUAAGAACAAGAGAGUCAAAGUAUAUAAGAGAAACAGAUUUGUAAUAAUAUAUGCAGAAACGCAGGCCAAGGAAUUGGAGAAGGUGAUUUUUUGGAUUAUUUUGACCAUAUCUUAGCUAGGAGACUGUGAUGGUUAUGCCUCCUUUGCCCGCACCUCUUUGUAAAAGUUCUAUUCCCCACAAACCCUUUCAGCUAAACUAUAUUAUAUACAAGUUUCUUUUUCUUUUUUUUUUUUCUUUUUCUUCUUGGAUUAAGCAAAUAUCAUGCGAAGGAGAAGCAUAUAUACACAAAUCUUUUGUUAACUUAUAUGUUUUUGUUUUAUAUUAUUAAGGUUGUACAAUCAACAAUUACCUAGAUUCCCAUUGCCCCAUUUUUUGCCUACUACUCCAGCUGGCUUUCAUACUUUACCCUUGUUUUGUCUAUUUAUUUUUAUCUAUGUAUCAUGAUUUUGCUUCAUAUGGUUACAUAGGGCCUCCCAGCUACGGCUAUAUAUUUUUAAAAUUUUUCUUUUUUAUAUUGGUUGAAAGCUUGAGUUCAUUUACAUUGCAAAAUUAAGUAGAUAUAUAUAUAUAUAUAAUUAACAGCUGAAAAGCUUGAUUCAGGACGUGAAUGAAUUGAGACUCAUAUAUAAAAUUAAUUGGUUUUCUAAGAUGGGAAAAAUAAUUAACGGAGAUAGGUUUGGAAUUGGAAACGGCAAGAGCUAAUAUACUAAAUCCAAACGUGCAAACUCAUAGAACCACACGACCGCACUGACCCAUUCUACUCAACGGACCAAAAGCUGCCACUUGGACAAUCACAAGACCAUUAAGGGGAAGGCCAUCUCAUUUUGUACGGACGCGUCUAAAAAUUAAAAAAGAAAAAGACCAAAUGUGGUAAAUCAUUGCAAAAAUGCAAAACCCUAGCAUACUUUUUGGCUUAUCGACGGACCCUUUUCAUAUUUACUCCUAACAGGCUAAUUAACUGGACGGUCGGCCGGGCAGUCCGGUCAGUCUUAGCCCCAACCAACCAGUUGCUGACGUCAGCAUCAGUCGGUUUAUUCUUUCUGGGCCUUGGUCCUGUCACUGUCAGGUCCAUCAGGUCAGCCCAUCUGGCCUCCUAUAAACCUUUUCCCAUUUGCCUCUUUCCAUUUUACAAGUAUACUUCACUCGCUCGCUGCUUCUCUCUUUCCUUUCUCGUUCUUCUUGUUAACUCUCUUUCGAGAUGGUGGAGAGAGAGAAACUUAACAAGGUGAAAAUAUGGCCUGAGUGCCUUCAAGGCAAUCUUGAACUUAAAGUCAUGCAAAGUUGUGUGGAUAAAUUGUUGGCAGGCUUCCAAUUUGGAGCUAAAAGUCACUUUGCAAUGGUGGCUGGUUCAUGUUAAUUGGGUGCUAUCCUACCUGAGCUUUUCUUUUCUUACUCCUCAUUUUCUUUAUCAUCUUUCUUUUUUCUUUUUGUUUAAUUUUUAUGUUUUUUUUUUCUAUUUUUUACUUUUAAUCUUCUUGACCUUGUAAGACCUUUUCUUGACCUUGUAAGACCCCAUUUUGUGUUUAUUUUUUCUGUUUUUUGUGUCCUUAUAAACUCUUUAUCAAUAUUUAUUGAUAUAGAGUUUACAAUUCUAUUUCUCCAUUUUCCGCCCAACUCAUCUUCUCCUUCCUUGUCUAUCCCUCCUGAGCUGUUUGAAUCAGACUAAUAUAUGUAGCAUCUCUCUUUAAAGACCACCCAAUUGAAUACUAAUUUUAUGAGAGUCCAUGCAAGUCAUGGAGCUUCUGUUGUUAUGUGGGCUUACUUUUGGUUUCAUGUCAAAUUAGGCAUGAAGAAAUUGGAUGGUGUAAAGAGGCAGAGUUGUGAAAAAGAAAAAGAAGAAAAAAGAAAAGAAAAGAGUACUUGAAGCACUAGUGAAAAGUGUUUUGUCUUUUAUAUUUACAGUAAAAAGAAAGAACCCUAUCUUUCUUAUUCUGUUAAGACCAUCAAUUUAGAUUGUUAUUAUAUGUGCAGAAAUAUGCUGUUGCAGGCAUCAGUUUCGUUGUUUUAUAUGUUGUUGUGCUGCUGAGAAAGUGAAUAAGAGAGAAUAAUAUUCUCUCAGAUCUGUGUUGUGUAAGACUUCUCCUCGUGACUGCUCUUAUGUACAAAUAUAUGUCCACUGUAUUAUUGGA